GACGAACGCUGGCGGCGUGCUUAACACAUGCAAGUCGAACGGAAAGGCCCUGCUUUUGUGGGGUGCUCGAGUGGCGAACGGGUGAGUAACACGUGAGUAACCCGCCCUUGACUUGGGGAUAACUUCAGGAAACUGGGGCUAAUACCGGAUAGGAGCUCCUGCUGCAUGGUGGGGGUUGGAAAGUUUCGGCGGUGGGGGAUGGACUCGCGGCUUAUCAGCUUGUUGGUGGGGUAGUGGCUUACCAAGGCUUUGACGGGUAGCCGGCCUGAGAGGGUGACCGGCCACAUUGGGACUGAGAUACGGCCCAGACUCGAACGGGAGACAGCAGUGGAAAGUAUUGCACAGUGGGCGGAAGCCUGAUGCAGCAACGCCGCGUGCGGGAUGACGGCCUUCGGGUGGUAAACCGCUUUCGCCUGUGACGAAGCGUGAGUGACGGUAAUAGGUAAAGAAGCACCGGCUAACUACGUG
rnacentral:rRNA from 1 species